rnacentral:rRNA from 1 species
UACGAAGGGGGCUAGCGUUGCUCGGAAUCACUGGGCGUAAAGGGUGCGUAGGCGGGUCUUUAAGUCAGGGGUGAAAUCCUGGAGCUCAACUCCAGAACUGCCUUUGAUACUGAGGAUCUUGAGUACGGGAGAGGUGAGUGGAACUGCGAGUGUAGAGGUGAAAUUCGUAGAUAUUCGGAAGAACACCAGUGGCGAAGGCGACUUACUGGACACAUAUUGACGCUGAGGUGCGAAGGCGUGGGGAGCAAACAGG